UACGUAGGGGGCAAGCGUUGUCCGGAUUUAUUGGGCGUAAAGAGCGUGUAGGCGGCUAGGUAGGUCCGUUGUGAAAACUCGAGGCUCAACCUCGAGACGUCGAUGGAAACCAUCUAGCUAGAGUCCGGAAGAGGAGAGUGGAAUUCCUGGUGUAGCGGUGAAAUGCGCAGAUAUCAGGAGGAACACCCGUGGCGAAAGCGGCUCUCUGGGACGGUACUGACGCUGAGACGCGAAAGCGUGGGGAGCGAACAGG
rnacentral:rRNA from 1 species